AGGCACCCCGCCCAGCUGGCCGGAGGCUUCAUUUAUUUACGGAUCCCUUAGCGGACCCUCCCUUGGUCCCUGCUCCUUCCAGAGAGAGGCCCGAGGGUCUCCUCUGGGGAGUGGAAGGAGGCUUGCCCUCCCAAAACUGGCUGCAUUCUGUUUGGGGAGAGCAAGCUGGAGUUCUCUCUUUGUUAGGAAACAGUGUCUGGGAGGGCCUCCCUGUUCUGAAGAAGCCAGGAAGGGGUCAGAGCUGGGAGCUUCCGGACCACCUGACCGUUUGACUCCUCAGGAAGCGGAGGCUUAGAGCAGGGCAGACACUGGCCCAGGGUCACACCAAUGGCCAGAAACUGGAGUGACCGCAAACCAGGCCUGUGCAUGACCGGGGGCCGUCUCUCCUCUCGUCCGUUAAGUCCUCGCUGAGUCUGCACUCCACAUGCAUUGCCCCAACUCAUUCAUUCAACAGAUUUGUAUCAUCAGAAGUUUGGGAAAUUCUGAUCUACACCGUACCUGCUGGUGGUGGGUUCAACGUGAUGGGAAUUCUGGAGCUGGGACUCUGGGGGACUGUGGCUUGUGCCUGGAAACAGGACUGUGUCUGGAACCAUCCAGACUCUUGGCCAGGUGGGAAGCCCGUCAACUAGAUCACUUAGCUCCAAGUGUGCCCUUCUUACCACCCCCUCUGCUUCCUGACUGUUUUCUUCAAAUGCACACAUUUGAAGAGAAGUUGAGGAACGGUUUCCAGGAGGCGGAGAACACAUGGACAUACGGAUUUAUGGAAUCAUAUCAUCCCAGACCCUGAGGACUGUAGGGCUCUCGGAUUGUAAAGCUGGGGACCUCUUACUCACGCGGUGUGGAAAAGAGCUGCUCACACGCGUGAACGCAACAUGGGCUGCUGGCUGUCCAAGGGAAACAAGACGCAAGCCAUGUGUGUAAUUUUAAAUGUUUACAAGCUGCG